GCGCCAGUAGCUCAGCUGGAUAGAGCAACGGCCUUCUAAGCCGUAGGUCACAGGUUCGAGUCCUGUCUGGCGCGCCA
rnacentral:tRNA from 1 species